rnacentral:rRNA from 1 species
UUAAGUUAUUAAGGGCGCACGGUGGAUGCCUUGGCACUAGAAGCCGAUGAAGGACGUUACUAACGACGAUAUGCUUUGGGGAGCUGUAAGUAAGCGUUGAUCCAGAGAUUUCCGAAUGGGGAAACCCAGCAUGAGUUAUGUCAUGUUAUCGAUAUGUGAAUACAUAGCAUAUCAGAAGGCAGACCCGGAGAACUGAAACAUCUUAGUACCCGGAGGAAGAGAAAGAAAAAUCGAUUCCCUGAGUAGCGGCGAGCGAAACGGGAAGAGCCCAAACCAACAAGCUUGCUUGUUGGGGUUGUAGGACACUCUAUACGGAGUUACAAAAGUAUAUAUUAGACGAAUCAUCUGGAAAGUUGAAUCAAAGAAGGUAAUAAUCCUGUAGUCGAAAAUAUAUACUCUCUUGAGUGGAUCCUGAGUACGACGGAGCACGUGAAAUUCCGUCGGAAUCUGGGAGGACCAUCUCCUAAGGCUAAAUACUCUCUAGUGACCGAUAGUGAACCAGUACCGUGAGGGAAAGGUGAAAAGUACCCCGGAAGGGGAGUGAAAGAGAACUUGAAACCGUGUGCUUACAAGUAGUCAGAGCCCGUUAAUGGGUGAUGGCGUGCCUUUUGUAGAAUGAACCGGCGAGUUACGAUUUGAUGCAAGGUUAAGCAGCUAAUGUGGAGCCGUAGCGAAAGCGAGUCUGAAUAGGGCGUUUAGUAUUUGGUCGUAGACCCGAAACCAGGUGAUCUACCCUUGGUCAGGUUGAAGUUCAGGUAACACUGAAUGGAGGACCGAACCGACUUACGUUGAAAAGUGAGCGGAUGAACUGAGGGUAGCGGAGAAAUUCCAAUCGAACUUGGAGAUAGCUGGUUCUCUCCGAAAUAGCUUUAGGGCUAGCCUCAAGUGAUGAUUAUUGGAGGUAGAGCACUGUUUGGACGAGGGGCCCUUCUCGGGUUACCGAAUUCAGACAAACUCCGAAUGCCAAUCAAUUUAACUUGGGAGUCAGAACAUGGGUGAUAAGGUCCGUGUUCGAAAGGGAAACAGCCCAGACCACCAGCUAAGGUCCCAAAAUAUAUGUUAAGUGGAAAAGGAUGUGGCGUUGCCCAGACAACUAGGAUGUUGGCUUAGAAGCAGCCAUCAUUUAAAGAGUGCGUAAUAGCUCACUAGUCGAGUGACACUGCGCCGAAAAUGUACCGGGGCUAAACAUAUUACCGAAGCUGUGGAUUGUCCGUAGGACAAUGGUAGGAGAGCGUUCUAAGGGCGUCGAAGCAUGAUCGCAAGGACAUGUGGAGCGCUUAGAAGUGAGAAUGCCGGUGUGAGUAGCGAAAGACGGGUGAGAAUCCCGUCCACCGAUUGACUAAGGUUUCCAGAGGAAGGCUCGUCCGCUCUGGGUUAGUCGGGUCCUAAGCUGAGGCCGACAGGCGUAGGCGAUGGAUAACAGGUUGAUAUUCCUGUACCACCUAGUAUCGUUUUAAUCGAUGGGGGGACGCAGUAGGAUAGGCGAAGCGUGCUAUUGGAUUGCACGUCCAAGCAGUAAGACUGAGUGUUAGGCAAAUCCGGCACUCAUAAGGUCAAGCUGUGAUGGGGAGAGGAAAUUGUUUCCUCGAGUCGUUGAUUUCACACUGCCAAGAAAAGCCUCUAGAUAGAUAACAGGUGCCCGUACCGCAAACCGACACAGGUAGUCAAGAUGAGAAUUCUAAGGUGAGCGAGCGAACUCUCGUUAAGGAACUCGGCAAAAUGACCCCGUAACUUCGGGAGAAGGGGUGCUCUUUAGGGUUAACGCCCAGAAGAGCCGCAGUGAAUAGGCCCAAGCGACUGUUUAUCAAAAACACAGGUCUCUGCUAAACCGUAAGGUGAUGUAUAGGGGCUGACGCCUGCCCGGUGCUGGAAGGUUAAGAGGAGUAGUUAGCUUCUGCGAAGCUACGAAUCGAAGCCCCAGUAAACGGCGGCCGUAACUAUAACGGUCCUAAGGUAGCGAAAUUCCUUGUCGGGUAAGUUCCGACCCGCACGAAAGGCGUAACGAUUUGGGCACUGUCUCAACGAGAGACUCGGUGAAAUCAUAGUACCUGUGAAGAUGCAGGUUACCCGCGACAGGACGGAAAGACCCCGUGGAGCUUUACUGUAGCCUGAUAUUGAAUUUUGGUACAGUUUGUACAGGAUAGGCGGGAGCCAUUGAAACCGGAGCGCUAGCUUCGGUGGAGGCGCUGGUGGGAUACCGCCCUGACUGUAUUGAAAUUCUAACCUACGGGUCUUAUCGACCCGGGAGACAGUGUCAGGUGGGCAGUUUGACUGGGGCGGUCGCCUCCUAAAGUGUAACGGAGGCGCCCAAAGGUUCCCUCAGAAUGGUUGGAAAUCAUUCGUAGAGUGCAAAGGCAUAAGGGAGCUUGACUGCGAGACCUACAAGUCGAGCAGGGACGAAAGUCGGGCUUAGUGAUCCGGUGGUUCCGCAUGGAAGGGCCAUCGCUCAACGGAUAAAAGCUACCCCGGGGAUAACAGGCUUAUCUCCCCCAAGAGUCCACAUCGACGGGGAGGUUUGGCACCUCGAUGUCGGCUCAUCGCAUCCUGGGGCUGUAGUCGGUCCCAAGGGUUGGGCUGUUCGCCCAUUAAAGCGGUACGCGAGCUGGGUUCAGAACGUCGUGAGACAGUUCGGUCCCUAUCCGUCGUGGGCGUAGGAAAUUUGAGAGGAGCUGUCCUUAGUACGAGAGGACCGGGAUGGAC